ensembl:snRNA U2 U2 spliceosomal RNA
UUGAUUUCUUUGGCUAAGAUCAAGUGUAGGAUCUCUUCCUAUAGAUAUAAUAUCUGGUAUAUGUCCUCUAUUCCAGGAAAACAUAUUAAAUGGGUAUUUGGAGCAGGGAGAAAUAGAAGCUGGUUUGGUCCAUUAUGCAUUGAACUGGUAUUGCUACAUCUCCAGAAGAGACUGCAUGCUUA